rnacentral:rRNA from 1 species
GCCUAAAAUCUAGCCCACACUUCCCACUAAUGUUAACCCACUAACCACUGUUUUUAACUAAAUCAUUCUACAAACUUAGUAAAGGAGAUUAAAAAGUUUAUAGGAGCUAUAUAGCUAGUACCGCAAGGGAAAAAUGAAAUAGAAAUGAAAUAGAAUAAAAGCACAAAAAAGUAAAGAUUAACCCUUGUACCUUUUGCAUCAUGGUUUAACUAGUUCAACCAAGCAAAAAGAAUUUUAGUUUGACAUCCCGAAACUAAGCGAGCUACUUCAAGGCAGCUUAAUGAGCUAACCCGUCUCUGUUGCAAAAGAGUGGGAAGACCUUCAAGUAGGGGUGACAGACCUACCGAGCUUAGUGAUAGCUGGUUACUCAAGAAAAGAAUUUUAGUCCAACCUGAAAUUAUACUAAUAAAACAAAAUACAAAUCUUAACUUCAGAGCAACUCAAAUAAGGUACAGCCUAUUUGAAUCAGGAUACAACCUAAACAAAAGGGUAACCUAAUAAUAAGACAGAACUAAGUGGGCCUAAGAGCAGCCACCUUUUAAAUAGCGUCAAAGCUUAAUUUUACUCUUACUUAAUGCCUCUACUAAUAUUGAACCCUUAAUUAGUAUUGAGUAAUUCUAUAAAAUUAUAGAAGUUUUUAUGUUAAAACUAGUAACAAGAAGAAGACCUUCUCCUAUAUGUGUGUGUAAAUCGGAAAGGACAAACCACCGAUAACUAACGUCCAUGAACUUAAGUAGCAAAUAUUGCAAGAAAACUCUACUUACACAUACGUUAAUCUUACACAAGAACAUAAAAAGAAAGAUUGAAAGGAAAAGAAGGAACUCGGCAAAUUUUAACCUCGCCUGUUUACCAAAAACAUCGCCUCUUGCAAAAAUAUAAGAGGUCCAGCCUGCCCAGUGACCCUGUUCAACGGCCGCGGUAUCCUAACCGUGCGAAGGUAGCGUAAUCACUUGUUCUUUAAAUGAGGACUAGUAUGAAUGGCACCACGAAGGUUAUACUGUCUCCUUUUCCUAAUCAGUGAAACUAAUCUUCCCGUGAAGAAGCGGGAAUAAUUUUAUAAGACGAGAAGACCCUAUGGAGCUUUAAACUACGCAUCAACUGCUUUACUAAACUCUAAUUCUCAUGAAUACUAACUUUUAACCCAGCAUAAUGACUGCAAGUUUUCGGUUGGGGUGACCACGGAGCAAAAACCAACCUCCAUAUUGAAAAGAACUAUCUUCUUUAGCUACGAGCUACAUCUCUAAGCAUCAAUAAUUUGACAUCCAUUGACCCAAUCUAUUGAUCAACGAACCAAGUUACCCUAGGGAUAACAGCGCAAUCCACUUCAAGAGCUCAUAUCGACAAGUGGGUUUACGACCUCGAUGUUGGAUCAGGGUAUCCCAGUGGUGCAGCCGCUACUAAAGGUUCGUUUGUUCAACGAUUAAAACCCU